rnacentral:tRNA from 1 species
GGGGAGAUGGCCGAGUGGUUAAUGGCAGCAGACUGUAAAUCUGCCGCACAACGUGCUACGAAGGUUCGAAUCCUUCUCUCCCCACCA